rnacentral:rRNA from 1 species
UACAGGGGGGGCAAGCGUUGUUCGGAAUUACUGGGCGUAAAGGGCCAGUAGGCGGCCAACUAAGUCCGACGUGAAAUCCCAAAGCUUAACUUUGGAACUGCGUCGGAUACUGGAUGGCUUGAAUUCGGGAGAGGGAUGCAGAAUUCCAGGUGUAGCGGUGAAAUGCGUAGAUAUCUGGAGGAAUACCGAUGGCGAAGGCGGCAUCCUGGACCGACAUUGACGCUGAACGGCGAAAGCUAGGGGAGCAAACGGG